UCCCAGGGGCAGAAGACCUGCCUUAGGGGUUACUCUGCAGAAUGCAGAAUGUUACUCUAAGAUAAUGCCCUUUACACAGUAAUGACCUGGAAUCUAUUGAAAGCUACAGGCCCUCUUUAGAGAAAUGCACACACAAGUCUUCCUACAAGUCCAGAGGUGCAGUGGGGGAUGGUGCACAGACCUCCUGAAGCAGCCCCCAGGCAUAAGACUAAGCACCCCUAGGAUGUGGAACUCUACAAAUUUGAGCUUCUGGGUCAUCUCUGGACCCCACCAUCAGCGACCGCAUGUAGUCUGAAUAGAGAAAACCUCAGGAAA